rnacentral:tRNA from 1 species
GAGAGUAUAGCUCAGUGGUAGAGUGCCUGCUUAGCAUGCACAAGGUCCUGGGUUCAGUCCCCAGUACCUCCA